AACCUUACCUCAUUACUGUGAAGCGAGGAUCCUUGUUUGCACACGCUUUGACUGGAUUUAACAGUGAUACCCAAUAACCACAGAGAAGGGCCCAGCCUUUGUGUGUUCUUCUUAAAGAGCUAACACAGUCUGUCUUUUGUACGUAAUCUCCACCUUCCAUUAGGCUGAGCAGCUGGAUUCUCAGCUGCAAGACCUUGCAGGAGUGGGAACGAGAGCUGACCAUGAGGACUGGUUCCCAGGGCUGUAGACUAAAGUGUGAUCAAGUCCGUCUCCCUUGCUGUCUGUCACCUCUGAUUCCCCUACCGGUGCAGGAUCACCUCUCAUCCAUGUGCCGGUGUUUGACCUGCGGCGCUUUCAGCCCUGGUGCCAUGGGUGAGAUUCAUAUGUGAAGCUAUGGUAGUGUAACUGGAAACUGUCGUGAGAAAUCCUCCAUUAACUUGUAUUAACACGCCAGCCUUUCCCACACACAUGCAUUGAAGAAUGAUUUACUGGAACUAUAACAGCUUCAUCAACUGUUACCAUUUAAAUACAACUGGAAUAUUCUUAAACAACAGGAAACUGGGGUUUUUUUAAGUGUAAAUUUAUUACUAGCCAAGAGUUUUAAUAUUUUGAUUGUCUGGUCUAAUAGAGCCUGGCCGACUUUCCUUCUGUAAAGUCCUCCUUGUCGGCUUUCUUAAAAGUCCUGUACAUAUUUGCAAUUACAUUGUGCACAGAUUCUUAAUGGAUAGAUUUCUUUUGUCAGGCUACAACAACAGACUGCAGAUUCCUUGUUUGUAUUGUAAAUGAUUGAAUACAUUUUGUUAAUAUGUUUUUAUUCCUAUGUUUUGCUAUUAAAAUUUUUAUAACAUUUCCAAGACAAAAAUUCCAAGUUUCUGCUUUGAAGAAUUUAGGUAAUUAAAUUACCCUAAGCUGAUCUCUUAGUUUAGGAGUUAUUUGGGUUUUGACACUGGAGUUGUGCCAGGUGAACAUCAGAAACAAGAUGCUUAAAUCAUUACACUAACUUGUAUUGGUUGCGGGAUUGGGUUUGGGGUCGUUUGGUCUUAUUUUAGGGUUUUUUUUUUUUUUGUUUUUUUUCUUCUUCAAAUUUAAAAGCCUUAAAUGUACUGUAAGCCUCAGAUCGUUGUACAACUGGAUUGCGUUGGUUGCCAGUUUGUGUGCUGUUGCCUGGAUGCGGCACGGUGGUUGGUAAUGGAAUAAAGGACGCAUGGAUC
rnacentral:lncRNA from 1 species